ACUGCUCAGUAACACGUGGCUAAUCUGCCCUUAGGACGAGAACAACCCCGGGAAACUGGGGCUAACUCUCGAUAGGCGAAGAACUCUGGAAUGAGUCUUUACCUAAAUAGUGCAACGUUAUCCUCGUUGCAUCGCCUAAGGAUGAGGCCGCGACCGAUCAGGUUGUUGGCGAGGUAAUGGCUCACCAAGCCUUUUACCGGUGCGGGCCGUGAGAGCGGGAGCCCGGAGAUGGGCACUGAGACAAGGGCCCAGGCCCUACGGGGCGCAGCAGUCGCGAAAACUUUGCAAUAAGCGAAAGCUUGACAGGGCUAUCCCGAGUGCCAUCCGCUGAGGAAGGCUUUUACCCAGUCUAGAACGCCGGGGGAAUAAGGAGAGGGCAAGUCUGGUGUCAGCCGCCGCGGUAAUACCAGCUCUCCGAGUGGUGUGGAUGUUUAUUGGGCCUAAAGCAUCCGUAGCUGGCUAGGUCAGUCCCUUGUUAAAUCCACCGAAUUAAUCGUUGGAUUGCGGGGGAUACUGCUUGGCUAGGGGACGAGAGAGGUAGACGGUAUUUUCGGGGUAGGGGUGAAAUCCUAUAAUCCCGGGAAGACCACCAGUGGCGAAGGCUGUCUGCUAGAGCGCGCCCGACGGUGAGGGAUGAAAGCUGGGGGAGCGAACCGGAUUAGAUACCCGGGUAGUCCCAGCUGUAAACGAUGCAGACUAGGUGUUUGGACGGCCACGUGCCGUUCUAGUGCCGCAGGGAAGCUGUUAAGUCUGCCGCCUGGGGAGUACGAUCGCAAGAUUGAAACUUAAAGGAAUUGGCGGGGGAGCA
rnacentral:rRNA from 1 species